rnacentral:tRNA from 5 species
UGGGGUGUAGCCAAGCGGUAAGGCAACGGACUUUGACUCCGUCAUUCGUUGGUUCGAAUCCAGCCACCCCAGCCA